rnacentral:rRNA from 1 species
GAGGAAUAUUGCACAAUGGAGGCAACUCUGAUGCAGCAACGCCGCGUGGAGGAUGACGCAUUUCGGUGUGUAAACUCCUUUUAAGAGGGAAGAUAAUGACGGUACCUCUUGAAUAAGCACCGGCUAACUCCGUGCCAGCAGCCGCGGUAAUACGGAGGGUGCAAGCGUUACUCGGAAUCACUGGGCGUAAAGGGUGCGUAGGCUGGCUUCUAAGUCAGAUGUGAAAUCCAAUGGCUUAACCAUUGAACUGCAUUUGAAACUGGAAGCCUAGAGUCCAGAAGGGGCAGAUGGAAUUAGUGGUGUAGGGGUAAAAUCCGUAGAUAUCACUAGGAAUAUCAAAAGCGAAGGCGAUCUGCUGGGAUGAUACUGACGCUGAGGCACGAAAGCGUGGGGAGCAAACAG